CUCCAAUCUCCCACCCGAAGACAAAUUAUAACUCAACAGCCUAUCACCAAGAUUCAGCCUAUCACCUAGGUUCAUCUCAAAAAAAAAAAAAAGACCUGUGCAACCCAGGAAGUGCUGGGAAAUCUUGGUGCAGCAUGGAAAAUAUGAACACCAACCCACUUAACCUCAAGAGAUCAAUAAGAAACUAGGGAUCAUUCUUGAACAACAAAAAUGCCCCCUACCCACAAAGAGACAAAACUAGUUAACCCUCGUAUUUUAUUCCCACCUUUCCUUACUUUUCAAGGCUUACCACCUUUCUAUCCUGCAAAAUCUUUUGGAUUUAUAGAUUCCUUUCAUUCCUAAAACUACCACCACACCAGGUCCCCAUCUAUCACCACUGGGCAACCCCAACAGCCUCCUUAGCUGCUCUUCCCAACACCAGUCAAUCAUACUACUUUUCCUCAAUCAACUCCCCUCACACCUUUUUCAUCCUGGCAUUCUAAUGUUUAAGGAACCAUGCAGCUCCUUUGAAAAUACAAAAGGAAAAGAAAAUUACUUAAAACAUUUUAGUUCGCAAGAACUUUG
rnacentral:lncRNA from 1 species